GCUGGUCGGGCCACGACCACGUGGACUGCGGCGCACGCCGGGCCGCUUGGGGCAGCGCCGGGCGGCCGAGUGACGUGACGGCGACCGCCUCUGCUCCCUGUGCUGGCCGUGACGCCCGGGCGUCAGCUCCAUCUCCCCUAGACUGUGCCCGGCUGUGGGACGGGCGCCGCCGGGACUGUGACUUCUCCCGACCCCGCACUCCAUAGCCUUGGUCCCCGAAGGCGGCGGCCGGGGCCUUUCGAUCAUCUUACACCGUCGUCUAGCGAGGCUCGUAGUGCGACACGCAGCCGCAGGCGACCCCGCCCAGGCUGAGACCUCGGGACCCGCCCUGGUCACCCCCAUCUCAGGGCCCCGCUCGGCCCACCCGGUACCCCGGUGGUGGCAGGGGCGGCAGCACGGAUGAAUACGGCGCAGGGCUGUGUGACCUUCGAGGAUGUGUUCGUGUACUUCUCCCGGGAGGAGUGGGAGCUCCUUGAGGAGGCUCAGAGGCUCCUGUACCGUGAUGUGAUGCUGGAGAACUUUGCGCUUGUGUCCUCACUGGGACUUGCAGUUUCCAGGUCCCAUGUUGUUUCCCAGAUGCAGCCGGAAGGGAGCCCCGGGUGCCUGAGACGGUAGACACAGCUACAGCUAGAGCAAAGAAGACUCGAAGGAGGCCUGGUCUUGGUCGUCGGCAUGCAGUGAAGGAUGAGGCUGCACCUCUGACCCUCCCCGUCAGUGGCUGUCCCAGAUGAGAACUCCCCAGGCAGGCCCUUCCUCCCGAAAGGCUCACCCCUGUGACAUGUGUGGCCCGGUCUUGAGAGACAUCUUUGCACCUGGCUGAGCCACAGGGAAGACCAUCCAGGCAACACACCAAGACCAACAUGUGAGUCACUGUGGGAGAGACUCCUGGGUAGUAUAAACCUUGACCAGAUGCAGAAGCAGCAGAGUGGAGAAAAUUUCUUCAGAAAGUAAGGAGCCAGGCCUGCCUGAUUUGUGAAGCUCAGCAGACGCCAUGUGUCAGAGAAGGCCUUUACCUGCGGGGAGGGUGGGAGGAACUCCGUGGCCAGCUGUGGACUUGUCCAGCGCCAAGCCCCUUGCGGUGGAGAAAAACCACAUCGGGGCCUUGAGGGUACGGGGCCUUUUGUGUAUCAGAUUUACUUUAGGCAAGAAAGCACAGCCUGAGACCAUAAAGCCUUCCGCUUGUUGGAGGCGGCCUCAGUCGAGGCUUGGUUGACUCAGAGCUUCUCACGGGACUCGUGGUUGGGGUGAACCAGGAGCAACAAGGGCCAGCGGAGAGGCACCUGAGCCAUACAGAGUCUCCCCAGGAAGAUGAGCUCUAAGCACAGCUAAUCUGCCUUCAAGACUUUCACGAGAGUGAGUCUCAGUGGGGCCCCUUCCAUGCACCAGUCACACGGUCCACACAGAGCAUCCAGAGUCUAUGGGAAGCAUCUCUACAAGAGGAAGAUUCAACAAAUGUUGGUGUGUUGUUCGGUAGCAGCAGGUCGUGCUGAAGGGAAGCCUGGGACCGCACCGAAUGUGAGAAAGCCUUUCUUGGGAGGCCAGGCCUCAGUCAGCACAUGAGGGUUUACCUCAGGCGAACCCAUGGGAGAACUUCCAAGUGCGGGAGGGCCUUUUGCUGCAGAUCAGACCUCACGCAGCACCCGCAGAUUCACACUGGGAGAAGCCUUAUGAGUGCCCGGAACGGAGGAGAGUCGAGGAUGGCUCUGCUUUUGUCCGGAGUAGUCUUCCCCACUCUAGAACACGUCUCUUCAAAUACAAAGUAAGUGGGUAAGCGUCUUGUGACCGCUGUCCUCUCACUAAUCGCGUAAGGGUCUUCCCGGGAGAGAAGCCCUGAGUGCAGUGAUGAGGAAAGGCCUCCAGUCGCUGCUUUUAUUUCUGGCAUGAUAGAGUCCACACUGCAGGAAAACCCUUGAAGUGUGAGGAAGAUCAAAGAGCCUUCUGUGACCACUCUUCUCUGAGUCAACACAAGGAGUCACAGUGGGGAAAACCUUGUGAACACAGUGAAUGUGGACACACUGUCAGCCUUCAUUCAUCCCUCCCGCUGAGUAUUUGUCCUGAGGAGAGACCCUGUGAGCGUCAGACAUGUGGGAAAGCCUUUUUUUGCAAGUGGACUUCCCUCAGUCACCACCAGAGAACUCCUGCUGAGGAGAAGCCUUUUGAAUAUAAGGCCUGAGGAAACUCUUUGCCAGGGGAAACGUCCCUGCCCGGCAUCUGAGAAAUUAUACCAAAGAGAAACCCCGUAAGUGUCAUCGCGAGAAGGUCUCUGAGGCAGUUCAUCACUUUCUGUCCUACUGGGGGCCGAUCCCGCUAGGACCGCUCUCUGCGAGUGAGAACUUACGAAGGAGAGGAGACCGGCGGUUCCUGUGUAAUUGCUCAGCCUUCAGCCCUGGCUCGACCUUAGUGUGCCCUGAAGAGCAAUCCCGGGAUAUUUUUAAAAAGAGAGCAAAGGCAUAAGGGAGGAGGAAGAAGAGAAGUAGAUGUGACAGAAAAAGGAACACGUAUGGUUUCUUUCAGGUUUCCCUGCCAAACCCGUGACAGUCUGUCAUCAGUUGUGUUUGUCUGAGGGGCAGGUGGGAGCAGUGUGUGAGAGGUGAAGGGGCCUCACCCCUCCACCUGACAUAAUACACGCUCCCGGACAUUCUGUGUCAGGAGAGCUGGACACUUGACACAGCUCUGCAAAUAUUACUGAAAUCCUUUUUUGUUAGGAAAAAAAAAAACCUGCUUAAUCAUUAAGAGUCAUAA